UAAAAUAUUAAAGAAGAGCUAAUUAAAAAAAAAAUCACAUGGUAUUAAUGUCGUGCAUUUUAAAUCACGAAAUACUAAAGUAAAAAAAAAAAAAUAAAACCGUAUUUGAAAUUUACCUUUUAAACGAUUAUUAUAAUCCUUUUUUUAAGAAAAGUGACAUCAUAUGCGACAGGCGGGAACCAGCUGUACCCCGGGGCCGAACGGGGGCCAUGUGCGCUUAGGAGGUGGUUUCGGGUUUGGACUUUGCCCGGUAUAAAACCUGAUGAGAGCUUUUAGCGGGUCGGAUUUUUUUAAAAUUCUAAUCUGAACCCGAUUAUCCAAUUCACAAUCUAAAUAUUCAUACGUGUUAUAUAGCAUAAAAUCAAUUCGGAUUUGGGUGGAGUUUUUGGGAUUUGGGUCCGAUAAUUAUAAAAUUUAUAUUCGAAUUCAAAUUCGUCGUAUUUUUAUUUUUUAUACUCACAUCCAAAAUUAUAUCUGUUUAGUAUCGAAUAAACAGAUUUUAAAUAUCCGUACUCAUCUACAUUCCUAAGUAGAAGUGUGGGAAUUUUGAUGAGCUGUGCAUGUAUACAUACAUCUUAAAAUUUAUAGAGGUCCAAAGCCUUUUCCUCUUUUGUUCUUUCCUAUUCUUGGAUUAAAACUGUUCAUAGUGUGAGGGCAUGCAACUUUCCCAGGGGUGGCUUUCAAAUGGCUAUUCGAAUUCGCGUGUUCGUGUUCGACAAUCGUGUUUGUCAUGCCAAUUUAAAAACAAAAUCGAAUUACGUCUGCGGAUUGAGUCUUUGCCGAGCCAGAUUCUGUACUUUUCUCGCAAAAGAUGCUUUCAGAAAAGAAACAAACGACGAAAUCAAUGAUUCGAUACAGACGAUCCUCUUAUUUUGGCGCGGUGAUUAUACAUAUGAUCGAUGUUUCCACUACUGUUUAGAGCAGCUGUAUCAAAAAAGAAUGGCGCUAUAUUGCUAGCUAUGUACCUCUCCAUCAAAAAGUGCACAGCGUGUAUGUUUAACUCUAACUGCAUGAUGUUCGAUCCUCUGAUGUAAAUCAAUCGAGAUAUAGCGAAUUGAUCGAGCAUAGAAAGGUCCA